AUAUUUCAGUUGAAAAAAAGCAUGCUACCGUUAAUAAACACGCUCCAUAGAUGGAUAUUGCAGCUGAAAAAAGCAUGCUACUGGUUCGAAUCCACCCGUUGAAAAAACAAGCUACCGUUAAAGAUAUUUCAGUUGAUAAAAAGCAUGCUACCGUUAACAAACACGCUCCAUGGAUAGAUAUUGCAGCUGAAAAAGCAUGCUACCGUUAACAAAAACACGUUCCUAUUCUUUAGCCUAUUAUAUAUAUGGCCAUUGAUAUAGAAGAACAGCUCAUCCACAAUGUUCAGAAUCAUCUGAGGAGGAAUGUUCAGUAUUUCCCUGCGGACAUUGAUUCUUUAUGUAAUAGCUAUGUGGACUCCUCUGGUUAUUGCUGCUCCAAGGCCAUAGUGAGCAUGGAGAUGAAAGAUUUGAGGGAACUGAAUUUAUAGAUUCUUGGUAUAGUGCUCGAUGCUCUUUCCUGCAAGGGGGUGAAUUUGCCAUUUGGUGUGCCCUAUCUGCGGAGGAAUGUUGUCCGAGAGAGUGAUGCCUCCAACGCCUCAGAUGUCAUCCGCAUCACCAAUCAUCUGCGGAGGAAUGCCGACUGAUUCUGGAAAAGGAGAACCAGUACAUAUAUUAGCUUAUUACGGUAGCUGUAGAAUACGGUAGCUGUAGCUGUGGGCCAGCAAAAUUUGCAGAGAUAGAAGAAUGCUCAGCCAAUAUAAUAGAGGGCAGAAACCAUAUUACCGAAGCUAAACCUCUGAAAUUGGGAUUGCUGGGAGAUGGUGUAGCUCCAAGAAAACUGCAAUGAUGUAGAUAAUAUAAAGCAGGCAUUUAGCAAAUGCCUACUUAUGCUAGGUAUGGUACAUCUAAUACCUCAUUGUUUUUUGGGAUUACAUAGACGAUCCAAGUUCCUGAUUUCAAAUUGAAUAUUCAAUGUCCAAUAAAUAGGUGAGUGAAUCUUGCUAAUAGUGGAGUGAAUUUUAAAAUAAAUUAAAAUUUAUUGUGAACUUCAAUGUAUAUAUCAUUAAUAGUAAUGUUAAUAUACAAUUCUUUUGUUGGAUUUACAUUGUUAUUAACAAUUUGAUUGUUGAAGUCAGAUUCACUUCAGUGACUUAGUGAAUGUUUAGAAAGUUCUGUUUACAUCACAUUCUAUUUUGUUGGUUUCUUUGCCCAUCAUUCUAUGUUUUUUGUUUUCUUUCUUUGCUUUCAUUCUAUUUUUGUUUGGCAUGGCCAUGCCUCCUCUGUUUUUGUUUUGUCUGUGAGUUUUACUCUAAUAUGUUUGGUAUGUGUUUUUCUUUUGUAUUUUUAUGUGUGGAUUGUUUUUUAAAAAGCUGUAUUGGUAUUUUGUAUUUGUCUUUUUUUGUGGGUGAUGAUUUUUCAGGCAGCAGUGAUGACAGGGAGGAGAAAUGAAGCAGAACUACAUAUCACAAGCACCAGGAAAUACAGAAGGAGAGCAGCCACAUACUUAUCAAGUGUGCAACAUUAGAUAAUAUUUCGAUCCGGUUCAAGCAUUCGAUGUGGCAGAGGUAGUUGGCAGUCUGUAGAGUGAUGCCUAGAGUUUCUCAAUUGUUAUUGCAGUCAAUGCAGAACAGAUUUUUAAAUUUACUGUUACACUUUUGCAUCAUUUCUACGAAUUGGUCAAUUUAUUUGUAAAUGGAUAUGUAAAUAGAUUUGUUGUUUAAUAAUUUUUUGGGGGGAGGGGUUGAAUUGCCCCCUCUUUAAGGCUGCAGAGAAUGGUCCUUGAUCAUGGUCAUUUUUUUUA